rnacentral:rRNA from 4 species
GGGUUGUGAGGUUAAGCGACUAAGCGUACACGGUGGAUGCCCUGGCAGUCAGAGGCGAUGAAGGGCGUGCUAAUCUGCGAUAAGCGCCGGUAAGGUGAUAUGAACCGUUAUAACCGGCGAUACCCGAAUGGGGAAACCCAGUGUGACUCGUCACACUAUCAUUAACUGAAUCCAUAGGUUAAUGAGGCGAACCGGGGGAACUGAAACAUCUAAGUACCCCGAGGAAAAGAAAUCAACCGAGAUUCCCCCAGUAGCGGCGAGCGAACGGGGAGGAGCCCAGAGCCUGAAUCAGCAUGUGUGUUAGUGGAAGCGUCUGGAAAGGCGCGCGAUACAGGGUGACAGCCCCGUACACAAAAGCGCAUGUGCUGUGAGCUCGAUGAGUAGGGCGGGACACGUGGUAUCCUGUCUGAAUAUGGGGGGACCAUCCUCCAAGGCUAAAUACUCCUGACUGACCGAUAGUGAACCAGUACCGUGAGGGAAAGGCGAAAAGAACCCCGGCGAGGGGAGUGAAAAAGAACCUGAAACCGUGUACGUACAAGCAGUGGGAGCACAGGUUUACCUGUGUGACUGCGUACCUUUUGUAUAAUGGGUCAGCGACUUAUAUUCUGUAGCAAGGUUAACCGCAUAGGGGAGCCGGAGGGAAACCGAGUCUUAAUUGGGCGUUAAGUUGCAGGGUAUAGACCCGAAACCCGGUGAUCUAGCCAUGGGCAGGUUGAAGGUUGGGUAACACUAACUGGAGGACCGAACCGACUAAUGUUGAAAAAUUAGCGGAUGACCUGUGGCUGGGGGUGAAAGGCCAAUCAAACCGGGAGAUAGCUGGUUCUCCCCGAAAGCUAUUUAGGUAGCGCCUCGUGAAUUCAUCUCCGGGGGUAGAGCACUGUUUCGGCUAGGGGGCCAUCCCGGCUUACCAACCCGAUGCAAACUGCGAAUACCGGAGAAUGUUAUCACGGGAGACACACGGCGGGUGCUAACGUCCGUCGUGAAGAGGGAAACAACCCAGACCGCCAGCUAAGGUCCCAAAGUCAUGGUUAAGUGGGAAACGAUGUGGGAAGGCCCAGACAGCCAGGAUGUUGGCUUAGAAGCAGCCAUCAUUUAAAGAAAGCGUAAUAGCUCACUGGUCGAGUCGGCCUGCGCGGAAGAUGUAACGGGGCUAAACCAUGCACCGAAGCUGCGGCAGCGAACGUAUCACUUAAAGCGAUUCAGCGGGUUACGAUUGACGGAGCGAAGCGACGUCAAAGCGUAUACAAAGUCGAGUCGGUUUAAGGAUACGUUCGUUGGGUAGGGGAGCGUUCUGUAAGCCUGCGAAGGUGGCCUGUGAGGGUUGCUGGAGGUAUCAGAAGUGCGAAUGCUGACAUAAGUAACGAUAAAGCGGGUGAAAAGCCCGCUCGCCGGAAGACCAAGGGUUCCUGUCCAACGUUAAUCGGGGCAGGGUGAGUCGACCCCUAAGGCGAGGCCGAAAGGCGUAGUCGAUGGGAAACGGGUUAAUAUUCCCGUACUUGGUGUUACUGCGAAGGGGGGACGGAGAAGGCUAUGUUGGCCGGGCGACGGUUGUCCCGGUUUAAGCGUGUAGGUGUGUGUUCCAGGUAAAUCCGGUUCACUUUAACACUGAGGCGUGAUGACGAGGCACUACGGUGCUGAAGCAACAAAUGCCCUGCUUCCAGGAAAAGCCUCUAAGCAUCAGGUAACAUCAAAUCGUACCCCAAACCGACACAGGUGGUCAGGUAGAGAAUACCAAGGCGCUUGAGAGAACUCGGGUGAAGGAACUAGGCAAAAUGGUGCCGUAACUUCGGGAGAAGGCACGCUGACACGUAGGUGAAGUGAUUUACUCAUGGAGCUGAAGUCAGUCGAAGAUACCAGCUGGCUGCAACUGUUUAUUAAAAACACAGCACUGUGCAAACACGAAAGUGGACGUAUACGGUGUGACGCCUGCCCGGUGCCGGAAGGUUAAUUGAUGGGGUCAGCGCAAGCGAAGCUCCUGAUCGAAGCCCCGGUAAACGGCGGCCGUAACUAUAACGGUCCUAAGGUAGCGAAAUUCCUUGUCGGGUAAGUUCCGACCUGCACGAAUGGCGUAAUGAUGGCCAGGCUGUCUCCACCCGAGACUCAGUGAAAUUGAACUCGCUGUGAAGAUGCAGUGUACCCGCGGCAAGACGGAAAGACCCCGUGAACCUUUACUAUAGCUUGACACUGAACAUUGAGCCUUGAUGUGUAGGAUAGGUGGGAGGCUUUGAAGUGUGGACGCCAGUCUGCAUGGAGCCGACCUUGAAAUACCACCCUUUAAUGUUUGAUGUUCUAACGUGGACCCGUAAUCCGGGUUGCGGACAGUGUCUGGUGGGUAGUUUGACUGGGGCGGUCUCCUCCUAAAGAGUAACGGAGGAGCACGAAGGUUGGCUAAUCCUGGUCGGACAUCAGGAGGUUAGUGCAAUGGCAUAAGCCAGCUUGACUGCGAGCGUGACGGCGCGAGCAGGUGCGAAAGCAGGUCAUAGUGAUCCGGUGGUUCUGAAUGGAAGGGCCAUCGCUCAACGGAUAAAAGGUACUCCGGGGAUAACAGGCUGAUACCGCCCAAGAGUUCAUAUCGACGGCGGUGUUUGGCACCUCGAUGUCGGCUCAUCACAUCCUGGGGCUGAAGUAGGUCCCAAGGGUAUGGCUGUUCGCCAUUUAAAGUGGUACGCGAGCUGGGUUUAGAACGUCGUGAGACAGUUCGGUCCCUAUCUGCCGUGGGCGCUGGAGAACUGAGGGGGGCUGCUCCUAGUACGAGAGGACCGGAGUGGACGCAUCACUGGUGUUCGGGUUGUCAUGCCAAUGGCACUGCCCGGUAGCUAAAUGCGGAAGAGAUAAGUGCUGAAAGCAUCUAAGCACGAAACUUGCCCCGAGAUGAGUUCUCCCUGAGACUUAGAGUCUCCUGAAGGAACGUUGAAGACGACGACGUUGAUAGGCCGGGUGUGUAAGCGCAGCGAUGCGUUGAGCUAACCGGUACUAAUGAACCGUGAGGCUUAACCUUACAACGCCGAAG